rnacentral:sRNA from 1 species
CACUCCUCUACCGAGUCUAUCACUCCU